rnacentral:rRNA from 1 species
AUUGAACGCUGGCGGAAUGCUUUACACAUGCAAGUCGAACGGCAGCACGGGGGCAACCCUGGUGGCGAGUGGCGAACGGGUGAGUAAUACAUCGGAACGUGCCCGGUCGUGGGGGAUAACGUAGCGAAAGUUACGCUAAUACCGCAUACGAUCUGAGGAUGAAAGCGGGGGACCUUCGGGCCUCGCGCGAUCGGGGCGGCCGAUGCCAGAUUAGGUAGUUGGUGGGGUAAAGGGCUACCAAGCCGACGAUCUGUAGCUGGUCUGAGAGGACGACCAGCCACACUGGGACUGAGCCACGGCCCAGACUCCUACGGGAGGCAGCAGUGGGGAAUUUUGGACAAUGGGCGCAAGCCUGAUCCAGCCAUUCCGCGUGCAGGACGAAGGCCUUCGGGUUGUAAACUGCUUUUGUAUGGAACGAAAAGGCUCUGGCUAAUACCUGGGGCUCAUGACGGUACCGGAAGAAUAAGCACCGGCUAACUACGUG